rnacentral:rRNA from 1 species
CCAGGAAAAUGUCGAUGAAGUCAUCGCGAAAGUAUGUGACAAUAUCCGUAUCGCAGCAGAGCUGAAGGUGCCGAAGCUGAUUCAUACAUUAAUUAAGGAAUUAAAAGAUAAGACUAAAAGACAGAUCAUAAUUUGUAACGAUCUGUCUUUUAUUUUAUUGUAUAAUUAUGUUAUUAACUAAGGAUUAAAGGAGUUUUUUAGUUUUGAAUAGUUUAGCCAGAAUAUUAACAAUAGUCUCAGAUCUCCGAUUUUUCUAUAUUUUGUUUAUACCAGUAAUAAUUGAAAAUUAUUUUGUGCCUGAUUUUCAGAGCAACUUUUUUUGAGGCUCUCUUAAAAUUGUUUAUUAGUGUAAUAUUAAUCCUGAUUGUUUGUUUAUUAAUCUUUUUUCGUUGUAAAUAUAUCUAUACUAUGUAUACAACAAGUAACAAAUUACUUGAUUAUUAUUUUAUUGAUAACACUAAGGAGUACCAAAAAAAAUUUAAAGAAAUUAAACUUUCUAUUACGACAACCUUUUUGGUUAUUAUUAAUGUAAUUAUAUUAUAUUUUCAUCAAGAUCAUAUAUUUAUGAAAUACAUUGAAGGCUUUUUGUGUUUCUAUUUAUUAGUUACCUUUUUUAGGCACAUGCAAAAAAGAAGUAAAGGUAAUAUGGAAAGAAUAAUAAUUAUUUCAUUUAGACUAAUAUUCGAGCCACUGCUUCAGCUUCUAUUAGUUCUGCAAUUUUUUGAAUACUUAGGUCAAAUAUCGGAAAAGCUAAAAGAUUUUAUUCUUCCUUUUGUAAUAGAAUAUUUAAAAAUUCACAAUGAGAAUCUGGUUAUUUCAAUCGAAGUUCUUAUAAACACAAUAUUUUUUACAUCAAUACUUUUAGUUUUUUUGCUUGUAUAUAUAGUUAUCUUUCAACCGUCAAUUAAUUUGAAUAAAUACAUAAAUAUUCUUAGCAUGUUUAAUUCAAUUAUUGUACUUGUUAAUUUAGCUAAUAUGACUGUUAAUAUAUUUGAAUUUAAUAAAAUUCACCUAGAAGGGCUUUCAGUGCAUGUUGCGAUUAUUAGUUUCCCAAUAGUUACAAGUAUUAUGAUAGUAAGGAAUGUACUAGACCAACAAAAAAGAAAAAGAGAAAAAGUUGCAAAAAAAUUGUUUAUAAAUGUGCUUAGAAAAAUAAGUGACAAGCAAAAAAAGUCUAGUUUUAAUGUUGAUACCUUAGUUUUAGAAAUGAAAAAAUGCUGUGUAUUUGGUGGGGAUAAUUAUAUAUUGUUGUUUUACAGUAAUCCUAAAACAGAAAGUAUAGUAAAAAGGCUAGAAUACCAAAAGGAAGUAAGAUCCUAUAUAAGAAACAAAUAAAACUAAUAUAUAGCUCUCUUUAGAUUGUGUCACUCGUUGAGAGUCAAAAGCAUCUAUGCUAUUAAUCCAGAAUGUUUGGUCAAAGGAUUCAUUAUGCCAAUGGAAAAACAGAGUUGAUUGAAGAAGGAGAAACUGUAAAAGGGUUGAACUAUGAAGUAGAGGAUAUACAAGCAGCAGUCCUGCACCAAACAGACAGCCAGACCAUCAGUCUCUCC